rnacentral:sRNA from 1 species
GCCAGGUGUGGUAGCACAUACCUGUAAUCCCAGUGACUUCGGAGGCUGAGGCAGGAGGAUCACAUGUUGAAGCCAGCCUCAGCAACAUAGUGAGAUUCUGUCUCAA